ACAUGCCUACAAAAUAGCAUUAAUGCACUAGAUCCCAUUAGAACUUCAUAGUUAAGCACGCUCGGGAUAGAGUAGUACUGGGAUGGAUGACUGCCUGAGAAGUCCUGGUGUUUUACAUGCC
rnacentral:rRNA from 1 species